rnacentral:rRNA from 1 species
AUAACUCCGGGAAACCGGGGCUAAUACCGGAUGCUUGUUUGAACCGCAUGGUUCAAACAUAAAAGGUGGCUUCGGCUACCACUUACAGAUGGACCCGCGGCGCAUUAGCUAGUUGGUGAGGUAACGGCUCACCAAGGCAACGAUGCGUAGCCGACCUGAGAGGGUGAUCGGCCACACUGGGACUGAGACACGGCCCACACUCCUACGGGAGGCAGCAGUAGGCAAUCUUCCGCAAUGGACGAAAGUCUGACGGAGCAACGCCGCGUGAGUGAUGAAGGUUUUCGGAUCGUAUAGCUCUGUUGUUAGGAAAGAACAAGUACCGUUCGAAUAGGGCGGUACCUUGACGGUACCUAACCAGAAAGCCACGGCUAACUACGUGCCAGCAGCCGCGGUAAUACGUAGGUGGCAAGCGUUGUCCGGAAUUAUUGUGCGUAAAGGGCUCGCAGGCGGUUUCUUAAGUCUGAUGUGAAACCCCCUGGCUCAACCGGGGAGGGUCAUUGCAAACUGGGUAACUUGAGUGCAGAAGAAGAGAGUGUAAUUCCACGUGUAGCGGUGAAAUGCGUAGAGAUGUGGAGGAACACCAGUGACGAAGGUCACUCUCUGGUCUGUAACUGACGCUGAGGCGAA